GCCACGGUAGUCUAGCGGUUAGAACGCUGGCCUUGUAAUCCUGGGGUCUCGGGUUCGAUUCCCGGCGAUGCCC
rnacentral:tRNA from 1 species